GAUGAAGAACGUAGCGAAAUGCGAUAAUUAAUGUGAAUUGCAGAAUUUAGUGAAUCAUCGAAUCUUUGAACGCACAUUGCGCCCCUUGGUAUUCCGGGGGGCAUGCCUGUUCGAGCGUCAUUUCAACCCUCAAGCUCUGCUUGGUCUAGGGCCGCGCCGGCAACGGCGGGCCUCAAAAACAGUGGCGGCGCCAUCUGGUCCCUCAGCGUAGUAAUUCUUCUCGCUGCUGGGCCCCGGUGGCCGCUUGCCAGCAACCCCAAACUUUCUAUGGUUGACCUCGGAUCAGGUAGGGAUACCCGCUGAACUUAAGCAUAUCAAUAAGCGGAGGA
rnacentral:misc_RNA from 1 species